rnacentral:rRNA from 1 species
GGGUCAGUAGCCUGGUCGUGCCACCGGUACGUACUGGUCUCACUGAUUCCUCCUUCCUGAAGAACCGUAAUGCCAUUAAUUUGGUGUUGCGGGGAAACAGGACUGUUACUUUGAAAAAAUUAGAGUGUUUAAAGCAAGCUAACGCUUGAAUACAUUAGCAUGGAAUAAUGAAAUAGGACGAUCGAUCCUAUUUUGUUGGCUUCUAGGAUUGACGUA